AUAAAAAAGGUCCGUCGACAUAUCCAAAUUCAAAAUACAUAUUUUUAUAUAUAAUUUGAUGUUAUAUCUGUAUUUUUAUUUUAAAUGUUUAGAUUUAAUGUAAUAUAUUUUGAAACAUGAUAAAGAGAAAUUAUUAUUUAGAGUUCAAAUUUCGAAUUUGAUUUCGGAUUUCGAAUUUUUGAUCGAAUUUAGAUUUGGAUGUGGAUUUUAAAAUUUAUUGAGUUCGAAUUUGUGUUCAGAUUUUGGAUGCUAUUCGAUUCGAUUCAGACUUUGGAAAAUCCGCCCCAAUUUCGACCACUGACAUUUCUAGCCAACGAGUUUAUCAUGUGCUUCAUGAGGUGUUUGAGUGUCUCAUGUUUUCUCAAUGUUGUCACAGUUAACAAAUAAAACAAUCAUGACACGAGAAUAAUAAUACCUAUAUAAAUGUUAAGAAGUUCUCCAAAUAAAAGCUUUAAUUUAUUUAUUUUGCCUGUAAUCUACUAUACAAAUUUAUUCUUUGUAAAAUCUUUUAAUUUGAGAUAUUGGAGCAUACCAAGUAGAAAUAUUGUACUUAUUUCAAGAGAACAACGGUAAUAAAUGUCAAUCUACACUAAAAAGAAUAAUAAAUAUUAAUUAGAGAUUUACGAAUAAAUAUUAUAAAACUUUGCUAUAAAUUUAUGGUGAUUUAUUACUGCCGUUAAUCUAGUAUUUUUAGGAAAAGUUAGACUUAGAAAUAAUUAAAGAUUUACAAAUUAAUGUUAUGAAACUUCGCUUUAAAUUCUCAAUGAUUAAUUACUGUAGUUAUAAUAGUAUUUUUAAAAAGCAUGGUAUCAUAUAUUUAUCAUCUCUAAACUGCUUCAUCAAGUACGAAGCCUAAUAUUUUAGAUUUUCUGUUAUCGAUUUAUUUUGGGAUUUAAGUUGUAUUAUCUAAUUGAGAUGGCCCGGAUUAAAGAAUUAGAUUGUGUUAGAUAAUUUUAUUUUAUUUUAUUUUAUUUUUUUGAUUAAACAGGGAUAUAGCAAAGGAGAGAAAAGAAAGGAAAUAGAGGCAAAGCCCAGUUCGAAUUACAUAGUCACAUAAAAUGAACUAAAGAAAGGGCAAUCAUAAAGAUCCGGACGCCGCUUCAAACAGAGAGAAGAGACUAGUAGAAGUUAACAAUCAAAAGACUAAGAAAGUAUUGUCGAUCUAAUCUUAGCUUGGCUUCCGAUCGCUGAUAACCAUUGGCAGAUUGUGUCGUUGAUUUGUCUUUCCAGAUUUUCGCUCUGUUCUACCUUGUUGUCGAAUAAUCUCCUGUUCCUUUCUUUCCAUAACUCCCAAUAUCCCGCUGCGACGCAGAGAUCGAAAUACUUUUUUGAAUCCCUUGUUCAUAGUUUUCUUGAACAGCACCAGCGCGCCGCUAACCCACCGGAUAAAGUGAACAUCCAAUGUUGCGCUGCCGGAGUAGCUCGCAAUAACAAAAUCCAUAUUGAUUUGGCGUAAGAGCAGUUUAACAGAAGAUGCUCCAGUGUGUCAGCAUUUGAAUUGCAAAGCGCGCAAACAGAGAGACCGUGCCAACCUUGUUUGGCUAGAGCGUCGGCUAUCAGCAGCUUAUUUCUCACUGCAAGCCGUUCCAUUGUAGAUCAGGAAAAGUUUGUGCAGUAAAUUUUCCAGUGGCAUUCCAUCACAAGGAGAGCGAGUCGAAAGAAGGCUCCGAAAGAACAAGAUUGCUAAUCAUUUCCGCAAGCUGGUUAAGCUCUCGACGUGCUUCAGGUAUGUUCAGUGUGCAGAAGCCCAAAGAUUGUUGUGAACCAAAGUGUUGGAUCCACUUGUUAACCGAUAGCUGAUUGUUGGUUGAUCUUGCAAAAAGGUUGGGGAAGCGAUUGUUGGUUGAUCUUGCAAAAAGGUUGGGGAAGCGAUUCCUUGGGUUAAGAUCCCCACACCAUCUCGCGUUCCAGAAGGAUGUUAAUUUUCCAUUACCGAGAGAGAAAUCAACAGAAGUAAGAAAAGGUGCAGCAAGCUUAAGCAAACCUCUCCAAAUUGGGCUGAUACCAGAUGGAGGAGAGGCGGUUAGGUCCGGAAUUCGAUGUUUGUAGUGUUUUUGCAUCAGAAGUUGGACCCAACAGCUAAUUUUGAGCAAAUUUUGAGAGUUGUAGAAACUCCAAAGACCCUUCAUUAGUAAGGCGGCGUUUGCGACUUGGAGGUUUCGAAUCCCAAUGCCCCCCACCUUAGAUAAUUUUAGAUGUGUUGAGUAGCAGCAGAGUUGGAUGAGUAAAAUACCACCCAACGGUGAUUAUCUUAACCUCUCACGUAUUGACAACUCAGGAACACUUAUACAUAAUACAUGUAAUCUUGUAAAAUUAACUUUUUUUUUUUUAAUUUCUUAAUUUUCCUAACGAACAAAAUUUUUAAAUUAAUACAAGCAAUGAGAAUAUAGGUUUAAUUUGUAAACUUUGUAAAAGCACUAUCGAUCUUGAAGCCUAAUUAUUCUUUUUUUAAUCUAAUUUUACUUCCUUUUAAUUACUUAAGUAUUGAAAUCAACUUCUGCGGCUUAGAAGAAAAUUGCGGAUAGAAUUUGGAUUCAUAUAAUUUUUUAAGAAAAUCACUUUAUGUAAGAUCGCCUUAACUAACAAUUAAGGAUUCCACUUUUACCUAAUAUUUAUUAAUGACAAUUUUAAAUUGUUUAACUCUACUUUCUUUCUUUUAUAAAAGUCGAGAAAAUUUAUAUUUUGCAAAAAUGUCAUAAAGCUAAUUAACACAUACUUAUUUUACCUAAUUUUUAUUAAACUAAAUUAGUUAACUAUACUUUUAUAUUUUUUUAAUUACUCUAUUUUUUUGUGAAAAGGUAAUAAGAUUUUAUAGAAUUAAGAAAAUAAGCUGAUCCAAAUUUACUUUUUUUUUUUUUAUAGAAUUAAGAAUAUAAUUGAGAAAAUAAACUAAUAGAAUUUGGAAUAGAAUUUUGAUCAAAUAAAACAUACUUAUUUCUGUACAUAUAUUCUAUACUAAAUAAGAAAUAAAUUAAAUUAGAAAAAUAGUAAAAGUUUAGUUUCAUGUAAGAUUUUUUGAAAUAAUUUUUUUUCUUAAUUAAUGGAAUAAAGGAUGUAAUUGUAAUUUUAUAGAACUUACCGACAACAAAAAGAAAAUUAUAGCUAUUAUUUUAAUGAAAGAGUCGAUUUCGAAAUUGUCUAUAAAUUGGGUGUUUCUUUGUUAUUUUGACUUUUUUUUUUCAAAAAAAUUCUCUAGAAUCUGAUUUAAAAAACAAGUAACGCUCUUUGAUGUAACGGUUUAUAUCACGAUUGUGAGACUGAGAAGCGGGACCCACAUUAUCUAGGUCAAUAUGAUGGGCACCACGACCACGACCGUGAUAUGCAUGACUUUUUUUUAGCAAAAUUGCUAAAUCGACCCCUAUGAUUUCUUAUAUUUAAACAAAUUCAGCUUACGGGCUUUCGCGCACACACGACAAAAAAUAUAAUAAUAAUUGGAUAAAUUUUAUAUAUGUCCCCAUAAAGUUUUAAAAUUGCACAGCUUUUCCUAUAAAAUUAUAAUUAUUUAAUUUUAUAAUGAAAAAUUAUUAUUAGAAUAUUUUAGUCCUCAUAUAUUCAAAUAUAAUUCGUUUUCUAUAAAGGGUUAUUGAAGUGUUACAUUCAUGUUAUCUGUUAUUAUAUAUAUAUAUAUUGUCUGAAGCUAGGUUUGGGCAGCAAAAUAAAAUAUUCAAGAUAAUUGAUUUGGUAUAAAUAUUUUCUUGCGUGAUUGAAUAUUAACAGUUUGAUUUUUAUUUUUUAGUAUAUAAUUUACUAAUAUAAUAUAUUUUAUCUGUAAUGUGAUUUAUCUUAUUUGAAAAAAAUAGCUUAUAGACAGAAUAUAGUAUGCAUUUUAGGUAUUUGAUCAGAUUCCUCAUUUAUCAAAUGCAGCAUACUUUUUCUAGGGCAUGUUUGGUUGCUCGUAAGUGAAACAACAAAAGUGGUAUUUUGGCGAAGUGGAAUUAUUUCGGUUGUUUGGAUUAUAAAAGUAAACAUGUAAAUGACUUUUGAAAAGUGAACCCGUGAAAUGGUUUAUAACUAAAAUCCACUUUUUUGACUUCGGCGAAAAAAAUUCGAUAUCGUUGAAAGUGGGCUGCCUACUCCACGCGACUUACGAACUGCAUCCAAAAACCUUUUUUCAUACCAUCUACAAAGAAUAAAAAAUAAAAAAAACCACCCUAUCUUAACAAAAAAAAACCAACAUAUCUUUUUUAAAAAAAAAAAAACAAAGAAAGAGACGUGCCUUAUUCCAUACCAUCUACAUAAAAAAAAAAAAAAAAAAAAAAAAAAAAAAAACAAAGAAAGAGACGUGCCUUAUUCCAUACCAUCUACAUAAAAAAGGGAAAAAAAAAAGAAAAAAAACUAUGCAUGUAAAAAAAAUCAUUUUAUUUUUUUAUUUUCUUAUAUAGAACCAAACAAUAGAAGUCAUAAAAACUGUAUUUUUUCUUUCACUUUUUUGAAACCAAACACUUGAACUCAAAAGUGACUUCUAUAAAAGUCACUUUUUGAAAAAUGACUUUUUUCACUUCGAUCACUUACGGACAACCAAACAUGCCGUAAGUAAAAUAGUAAAUCGAAAAAAUAUACCAAAUGAGAUGUUGAUACAUCCAAUCAACCAAGGUCGAAAUGAGACAGAUGUAAGGGCUUGUUUGGUUCAUUCAUUUUGGGUAUGGAAUGGGAAUCGGUUUGAACAAAUCCGGUUAAUUUUGUUUGGUUCGCAUGAAUCGAUUUGGGAUUCCUAUUCCGUUCUGGAAUGGGAAUGGCCCAUUAGCCUUCAACUUGAUUUCGGUCUUCUAGCCCGGAUUGAGAUUUUAUUCCGGAAGCCCACUAAGUUAUCGAAGCCCAUGUGACCAUCUCACCCUCCUUCUCUUCACCCCUUUCUCAUCAAAAAAAAAAACCUAUCCUCUCUCAAAACCCUAUCCCUAACCCACAUCAAUAAAAGUUUUUAAAAAUAAAUUUGAUAUUUUUUUUUGGAAAACUUAUUAGAGAAUAAUAUUAUAUUUUUCAUAAAUUUUAAAUAAUAUAAAUUUAUAUUUGAGAGUAAAAUUAGUAUUAUAGUAUUCUAUAAUUUUUUUAGUUUAUACGAACCAAACAAUGAAAUGUGAAUAACUCAUUCCAAUUCCCAAUCCACAAAUAAACUAAACGUCUUGAGGGAGUGGGCCAUUCCAAUUACCAUUCCAAUUCAUUCCCAUUCCAUUAUCCAUUCCAAUUCCACCCUUGAACAAAACAAACCCUAAGUGUAAAUAUAUUAUUAUUUUCGAAAUGAACAUGCAAAUACUUAACAAAUUUGCAUGAGUAUGUACUCAAUUUCACAUUUUUGUAGGGGCUUGUAUGCUUAAAACUUAAUUUGAAAUAUAACAAAUUAACAAUGAUCAAUGCGCUCUUUUUCAAAUGGCAGUUGACGUGGGGCACUGGGUGCAGGUAAUACUUUCAGAUUCAUGCUCUCUUUGGUGUAGGUGUAAGCGUGUGAGAUGGUUCGGCCGGCUCAUGUUCGGCUCAUUUCAUAAAUGAGCCGAACACGAGCUGAUUUGUUAAAGUAUCGAGCAAAAAUUCAACUCGUGUUCUGCUUGUUAGCGGCUUCUUUUUUUUGUUUUUUGAGAAAAAGGUAGCACGCUACCGGCUUCAUUCAUUGGAUUGGUGAAUUAAGCUACAAGUGUGGGGCAACCAAGCCCCGAGUGAAAAAAAAAAGGCGUUUAAACCCUCAAUUUAAGGUACUAGAAGAAGGUCCCAAUCCAUAACGAGGAGUUUGAGCCUGUGGACUGCUAUCCCAGGGUUCGGGAGGAUGUUCCGAAAGAUUGUAUCGUUUCUGAUCUUCCAAAUGAUUCACCAGCAGCCGACUAGGUCAGUAAGAUAGGUUCGCUUCUUUUGUUUAUCCUUCCUAACCAUCCACCUAUCCCACAUGAGAUUGACGUCGCCCCCCAGAUCUUGGGCCUGAAUAUCGUCCACCCCUGUCGUUAUGAUAAACUUGCAGAAUACGCACCGGGUGAACAGAUAGUCCACUUCUUCCUCAUCCGACCCGCAUAGCACGCAAGGAGGGUCGUCUAUCCACCCUCUCUUAACAAGCUGAUCGCGAGUAAGAAUCCUUUUCUUGAGGACCAACCAGCAAAACACUUUUACUUUUAGAGGGAUUUUAAGACUCCAGAUGUUGAUGGCACGUGCAUCUCUCGUCCCGCCGUCCGUCAAAGCCCAAUAGGUCGAUUUGAUCGAAAAGUGUCCGUCAAUACUCCAACGCCAUAGGAUCGUGUCCGGCCUAUGCUCAACGGAGUAAAAGGAGACCCUUUCUACGAGCUCCGAGAGGUUUGGUAACAGUCCUUGCAACUGCCCCACGUUGGCUCCCAGGAUCUUGGACCAGUUCCAAUUACCCCCCGUAAAGAAGUCACUAACUCUAGAGUAUUUCCCCACGGACCUUAGAUACGCUUUCGGGAAUAAUAGGUUCCAUGAUUUCUCCCCACACCAUCGAUCCGACCAAAAAUCGAUGGUGCUCCCGUUUCCUAGUUUAAAAGCCACUCCCCAUUUGAAGAUAGUGUUGAGGCUAAGAAUACCCUUCCACCAGCUAAAAAAAGGUCGGAAGGAUUUGCCUUCCCUCAGAGGUAUUCUUCUAUGAUAAUACAAUUCUCGGAUUAACUUAUUCCACUGUAAUUCAGGUGAUGUGUGGAAUUUCCACCACCAUUUGGUCAGAAGAGCUUGGUUUAUGAUUGCAACAUCCAAGAUACCUAAACCACCUUCCUUCUUGGUCUUGCAAAUGUUUUUCCAAGCCACCAAACAUCCCGUGCCAGGGUUGUUGCGCCCGCUAUUCUAGAAGAAGUCUCUUCUUAGUGUUUCAAUAAGCUUAAUCGCCCAAGUGGGGCCCUUGAAUAUGGAUAAGAAGUGUAGAGACCUGAAAUUUUAGCUGAAGCUUGUCGACAGCUCUGGAGAGUGUCGGGACAAGUCCGGGUCGCGUUCGCGCGAAGUGGACGCCAAACGGGCCUUGUGGGAACUUGAGAGCAGCGUGUAUCUUGAAGAUCUGCGAAAUAGCAGAUUUUCAGUNUCCCGCUGCAGGUAGUGACAGUUUUUGUUCGAACGUUUUUGUACAUACAGUUGAACUCGGUGGAGCGAGUAGUGUUCUUUUGUAUCCGUGGCUGAUGUAGGUAUAUUAAGUUUGUUAUUUCUACCUGCUUGUUUAUAGUUUACUUCAGCUCUAUACUACUGCUUGUAGUAUUGUAUGUUUAUACAGAUUCAGCUACGCUUCGUAUACUGGAGAAAUUCUCUUGUAUACGGCGGAUUUGUCGGCGUGCCCGGGGGACUGUGCAGCCCGGGGCGUGACAAGAAGUAUAGUGGUAUAUUAGUUAGAACCGUAUUAACCAAAGUAAGUCGCUCAAAGUAAGUUUGCCCCUUUCAAGAAGGCCGACUGAGUUGGGGAUAUUAGAUCCUUCAAGACCUGUUCUAGCCUGUUAGCCAAAACCUUAGAUAAGAUUUUUUGGAUCCCAUUCAGCAAGCUUAUGGGGGCGAAAGUCGUUUGCUUGCACGGCUCCCUCCUUCUUAGGAAUAAGGCAAAUGAAGGCGUAGUCGAUGGGAGCUGUGGAGAGCCUCCCCUCAUGCAACUCCUGGAAUAAACUCGAGAUAUUUUCCUUAACGGUGUCCCAAAAUGUUUGGUAGAACUUUAGCGGAAAUCCAUCCAGGCCCGGUGCUUUAUCGCUCCCCAGAUUGAAGACGGCUUGCUUGAUUUCAUCUAAACUGAAGGGUUUAGAUAAUCUCGAUAGAUCGAAAGCCACAACGUAAUUGGAUCGAAAUAACCUAGUCCAGUCCCCAAAGGUAGAUGGGUUCGAAUCCUCGGGGUUGAAAAGUGCUUUAAAGGAUCGGUAGAAGUAAUUUUGUUUCUCCUCUUCGGAUUGGUAGCUAACCUCAUUUUCCACGAGUGUGCCGAUCCAGUUAGCUCUACGUCUGCCAUUAGCUAUAGAAUGGAAGAAUUUUGUGUUUCCAUCCCCCUAUCGCAGCAAGUGCUGUUUAGCCCUAGUUCUCCAAAGUGAGGCUUCGUCGCUUAAGACACUUCUCAGAUUAGCCUUUAGCUCCGCUCUCUUAGCAAUUAAGUCUUGCGAUAGGUCGCCCUGUUCUUCCGCCUUAUCAAUUCUCUGAAUUUCAUCCAUAAGAUGAUUCUUAAGUCCUCUCACACUAUAAAAUUCUUUUACGCACCACUCCUUGAUCUUGAUAUGACAGUGUAUGAGUUUCGCUGUGAACUUUAAAACCGCCGACUUAUUCUGCAUACCCAAAGAUCCCUCCCUCCACCAUCCCGGAAGUUUUGAAAUGAACCCCUUAUGAUUCAACCACGCUUCCUCAAAGCGAAAAGUUUUGUUCUUCACCCUGGAGCAAUUCUCCAUAGUUAGUAAGAUAGGGCAAUGAUCGAAAGUAAUUCUGGGUAGCACUUCAACUCUAGUGAGGGAGAAAUCCUGGUCCCAUUCGGUUGAGACAAAGAAACGGUCGAGUCUUGCCACCGUUGGAUUCGCUUGCAUGUUGGACCACGUGUACGAUUGGUUGGACAUGGGUGGGUCAAUCAAGGCGAGUUCUUUGAUUACAUCAUUGAAUAUAGCUGUGGCUUUAGUGCUCCAAAGCUUUCCCUCCGUUCCUCUUGCCCUCUAGUACAGUUAAAAUCGCCACAGAUGAUCCACUUGCCCACACAGUGUUCCUUUAGCUGAGCCAAUUCAGCAAAGAAAUCUUCCUUGUAGUAUCCCUGGUCUUUGGGUUGCUCGUGAAUCUCAGCAUCUGAGGCUUGUCGACACAUCUGGAGAGUGUCGGGACAAGUCAGAGUCGUUUUGGCGCGAAAUAGACGUAAAACGGACUCAGUGCAACGCGAGAGCAGAGUUUGAUAUUGAAAUCUGCAAAAUGCAGGUUUCAGUAUUGAGUACCGGUACCAUGCAGGGGAGUACCGGUAUCCUAGUGUAUUUUUUCGAACUGCUGCUCUCGGGUUGCGAUAAUUAAUGCUGAGUACCGGUAUGGCAUCGGGCUGGUACCGGUACUCCAGCUGUAAAUUGAGUUCGUGAGGGGCAUGGAUGUCAUUUUGUUGGUGGUUAUCCAAACCACCAACUCUCCCUCGUAUUUAUACACCUGAGGGAGAAUAACUUGCUUAAUUAUGUUUCUCGCCCUUUCAAGUGUUAAUUAUAUGCUUGGUGGAGGCCACGACCGCUUGAGCUCGGAUCGACGUCGACGUUGCGCCAGAGAACCGUUCAAGCGUGUGGACGUCGUGGUUGCGCCGUUAGAGGCCGGGCGAGUGCGUGUUUUCCAUUUUCUUGACUUCUCGCCGUAGUUGGAUUAGCGUUUCUAGGUGGGUUGAAGUUUACCGAAUUCUUCGGAUUUCUUCCUGAGCCUAGUUGUUGUCAGCAUGUAAACUUCAUGUGUAGUAUCAUGUUAUUAGCUCGAUUCGCCGAUUUGCAUUGCUUUUAAUAAAAUCUGAAUUGAAGCCUUAAAUGCUAGUUUUGUUUUACAUGUUGGAUUUAGAAUUGACUUAGGAGAAAACUAUAGAUCCUACACUGUCAUUUUCUGAAAAAUAUUAGAUUUAGCUUUAGGAGCUGUUGUUUGUUUGUAUCACCGCAGUUUGUAUGCGGUGGAUAUCCAGAUUAGUGUAGGAUGAGUUUACGCUCGUGCUCGGAUGCCGAGUUUAUUUUUACAGUAGUGUGUGGACUGUUCUGGACUGUCGGGUGCCAUCGUGUUGGGCGGUGGACCCAGAUUUCUGUAUUUACAUCAGAUUGUGCCAAGAGCACGUGAAUUUUGGUUGUUAGACCAGUUAGACCCAUUUGUUUUGAUUACAGCCUGUGAGAGCCUGAUUGAGCUCGGUAGAGACACGCUUACAUACUCGGUUGGGUAGCGCCCACGAGUGCCACUCCGGAGUCGGACUUAGUGCUUUUGCGUUGUUGUCAUAGUGUCCUGGUUGGACUUGCUCUCCACCAACAACCCAGCAUGGUGGUGGUUGGUGUAGCUUCGAUAGGCGGGACGGGUGUGUUCACAGUCUCUAGUGAGAUUUGGUCAGAGAUUGCAUCUUACUUAUAUCUACAGAUAGCUAGUAUUGGUUAGCGAUAGUAUAGUGGCAUAUAGCUGUAGAGUUUUUCCAGCUUCCUUUACUAUCCUUGAGCAUAUUUUUUGUAGACUUAGUAGGUGAGCCGUUUAGGUCGGUAGCGGUACCUACUGAGGACUACUCCUUUUGAAGUAGUUCUUACACCCAAUUGUUGACCCUUUUGUAGAGCCUUCGUCCGCGGCUGCUGCUAUUGCUGAUUUGGAUCGUGGAAAGGGAGUCGAUCGACCUAGAUCCCUUCUAGUUUUGUUACUGUUCUUGAGGAGUACUAGCUACAGGUAGUUUUGCUUUUUCAUUCUUGUACAUACUGAUGUUAGUCACUCGCUGGAGCGAGUAAUGUUUGUAUCUUGGAGACUAUGUAUGUAUAGUGAACUUGAUGUUUAUUUAUAUAUGUUUACAGUUCUGUUAGCAGCUUUAUACUACUAGUUGUAGUUUUGUAUGUUUACAGGUAUAGGUACAGCUAUCGCUUCGUAUACAGAGGGAAUUUUUUGGUAUACGGCGGGUCUGUUGUCGUGCCCGGGAAAACGUGGUAAUCCGGGGCGUGACAGAUUAAGUUAGUAUUAGAGCUUAGUAUUAGGUAGUUUGGACCUAGAAACCUUAAGCUUGGCCAACCUUAGGAAGGCAAGAUACGAGAGGCGUGAUUUAUCGCGAAAGGCAGCGAUUGAAUUAUUUUAACUCAUCCUAAAGUGGAGUAAGUGAUUAAAUGAAUGUCUGUUUCGGCCAAGGAAAUUAUGUCGACUGCAAACGGCAUAAUUUUGAGGAGAAAUAGGGGCGGCCUUCUAGACUUUCGCUUUAUUAGGUCGAGAGUUGAUUAUGUUUUAUAUUUGACCCUUGUUUUGCUUAUAGGUAGUCAUGUAUCAAUGCCGAGGUCGACCGCCGACGCGGGAUCGUACCGACCACCUGUGAUGCCUGAGUAGGUAGGGCCGAGUGCACCCCCUGAUCUGAUGGAGCAGUUGGCUGCCUUGACUGAGGCGACGAGGCAGCAGGGGGCAUUAUUACAGAGGAUGGGUGAGACAUUACUCUACCGCCAAGCACAGUGCCUAGGGCACCAGAGCAGUCAGCACCACCAUCGACUAUUCCCGUGGCUGCACCAGCCAUAGCUGUACCCCCACUAGUGACAGUUCCUUCGGCGCCAGUUGCAUUUUCUAGAGAGGCGUCACAGAUGUCUGAGGUGGAGCAAAAGUGGAUGACUAAGAGGCUUGCGCGUUUCCGCCGAUUUGAUCCGCUACGUUUUGACGGCAGCUGCACGGAGCCCUCGGUUGUAGAGGGCUGGGUGAGUGCGAUGGAGAAGUUAUUUGAGGACUUAUUUAUACCGGAGCGGAAGCAGGUACAUUUGGGAGUACAAUGUUUGGCCGGCGAUGCGCACUCCUGGUGGAGGAGGAUGAGGCAGACUCGACGGUUGGUGGCAUUGUAAAUGAAGAGUGAUGAGUUCUUCGGAAUGCUGUACGGGGCGUAUUUUUCAAACAGUGUGAAGCAGAAGCUCGAGGAAGACCUGAAGAAGCUACAGUAGGGAGAGCGAUCAGUUCAGGAGUACACCCAUGAGUUUACGCGACUUCUGAACUGUAUGCCAUUUGUAGCCAAGGAUGAGGCCCACAUAGUAUAUCUGUAUGAGGGAGGUUUGAGACCAGAGAUUUUUCGGUUGGUACAGACGCAGAGGUUGAGGACCUCGGAUGCAUCGAUUUAGCAGGCGUUGUGGGUGGAGAGAGGUGAUGUGUCGAUUCGUGAGCGGGCUUAGGUGCCGGGGCAGAGUCAGGACAGGAAGCGCCCGGUUCCGGAUGAUGGAGGGCAGUCGAGCAGCAUGCGUCCGCUAAGACCUCGACGAUCACGCUCUCAGGGCCGUGGGUCUUCGCGGCGUCAGCGUUCUGGGGACCUCGCAAGCAGAGACAGUCGCAGGGGACUCCACAGUGUGUGAUUUGUGGGGGACCACACUGGCCCCGACAACGUGAGCAGCGAGAAGGCCGAUGUUUCACAUGUGGACAGCCUGAACAUAUGAGGGCAUCUUGUCCCGAGCAGCAUCACCAGCACCAACGACGACGUCUGCAGAGCCGGCACCUCAGCAGUCUCAUGGAGCAUCACCGAGUUACCGCCAGGAUGACAAAGUAUCGGUGUUGCGACAGAGUGAGCGGCGACAGUAGGCCCCGAGUGGCAGAGUGUACACAGCCCAGGUGGAGGACUCUACAGCAGCCGACAGGAUGGUGGCAAGUAUCAUUUUGAUUUUUGGUAUUAGAGUUCGUACCUUAUUUAACACCGGCGCAUCACAUUCUUUUGUUAGCCGAGCAUUUGCAUCAUUGCAUGGUCUAGAGGUAUGGCCGUUGUUGCAUGCACGAGAGGUGCAGAUUCCUGACCAUGUUUUACAGUAGCAGAGUGUUGUUGGUCGUGUCCAGUUCAGUUGGACUCUUGGAUUAUGCCCGCAGACCUGUUAGUCUUAGGGCAGCUGCAGGACUUUGAUGUUGUACUUGGCAUGGAUUGGCUAGCGCGGUACUAUGCUACGAUUGACUGUGGAGCGAGAACAGUGACGUUCCGCAAGCCAGGCCAGGAGGAGUUUAUGUACAGGGGCUGCUGGAGUACAUUGUUUGCCGCUUGAAUUUCGUCGGCGAGGGCUCGACAAUUGUUGAGUAGAGGAUGCAUCGCUUUUCUGGCGACGAUUGUAGAGGAUGUAUCGCUUUUCUCGCAGGCCUGUCGACGAGGGCUUGACAGCCAUUUUAUUUUAUUUUUAAUAAUAAAAUAUUUGAUUCGAUAAUUAAUUUUAUUAGACAUGAUCUAUAGUGUUAAAACUAUUUAGAAAUCAAAUUUCAUAAUUUUUUAGUUUUCAUUUGCCUAGUGAAUUAGUAGUCUCAAAAUAAAUGGCUGAAAAUAAAAAUUUUAUAAAAAUAGUGUUAAAAAAUAAUUCUAUAUAGCGUAGAUCAUGUCUAACGAAAUCGAUCGCCAAAUCGAAUAUCCCAUCAUAAAAAAUAACUUAUAAACACGCAAACCUCCAUAUUUACAAAAGUAUAGGAGCCUAACUCUCUCUAUAUAAAUACAACGGCGGACAAAUGGUAGAAACUUACAAGCACCAAAGCCGAUCUCUCUCUCUCUCUCUCUCUCUCUCUCUCUCUCUCUCUAUAUAUAUAUAUAUAUAUAUAUAUAUAUAUAUAUAGAACUAGGCUACUAUACUAUCGGUAGCACGGAGCGCUCCGUGCUACCAAGUUGUUUUCGAUGAUGCGGCUUCCAAAUCGACGAUCGGCUCCGUUAGACUUGAUCUACACUAUUGAAAGUAUUUGGAAACUAAAUUUCAGAUUUUUUCGACAUCAUUUGACUAGUGAUCAAAAGAUCUCAAAAUUGACAAUUUUAAUAGCCGAUGUGGUGUGUUUGUGAGUUUAACGGUGUAAAACAAUCCAAAUGCGAUGAAAAUUUUAUAGAAAAUUCUUUUCACUAUUUAGAGUAAGAUCAGUGUAUCUGAUCUUGAAUUUAAAUCUUUUAUCAUCAUUUUUCAUGAGAUUUUUAUUUUCAGUUGUUCAAUUUUAGACUACUUGUUUGAUAGGUAAAUGGUAUCGAAAAAUUAUGAAAUUUAGUUUCUAAAUACUUUUAAUAGUGUAGAUCAAGUUUAACGGAGUCGAUCGUCAAUUUGGAAGCCGCAUCAUUGAAAACAACUUGGUAGCAGGGAGGCCUCCGUGCUCCUAAAUUGUUUUCGAUUAUGUAACUUCCGAAUCGACGAUCGACUCCGUUAAAUUUGAUCUAGCGUAUUUGAACUAUAUAGAAAAUAAAUUUUGUUAUUUUUCGAUAUCAAUUAUCUAGUGAUCGAAAGGACUCAAAAUCAACGGUUGAAAAUAAAAAUCUCAUAAAAAGUUAUAAUGUAGCAUUAAAAUUUUCGAUCAGAGAUAUUGAUCUUGUUGUAGAUAGUAUAAAGAAUUUUCUAUCAAAAUUUCAUCUGAUUUGAAUACUUCUAUACCGUUAAACUUGUAAACGGUAUACAUCAACCAUUAAAAAUUGUUGAUUUUAGCCCUUUUGAUCGCUUGGUAAAUGAUAUCGAAAAAUCACAAAAUUUAUCUUCUAGAUAUUUCAAAUACGCUAGAUUAAGUCUAACGGUGUAAAUCGUCGAUUCGAAAGCUCUAUCAUCGAAAACGGCUUAGCAGCACGGAGGCCUCCGCGCUCCUAAUAACACACAAGACCUACUUUCUCUCUCUCUCUCUCUCUAUAUAUAUAUAUAUAUAUAUAUCUCUCUCUCUCUAUAUAUAUAUAUAGAUAUAUAUAUAUAUAUAUAUAUAUAUAUAGAGAGAGAGAGAGAGAGAAAGUAGGUCUUGUGUGUUAUUAGGAGCGCGGAGGCCUCCGUGCUGCUAAGCCGUUUUCGAUGAUAGAGCUUUCGAAUCGACGAUUUACACCGUUAGACUUAAUCUAGCGUAUUUGAAAUAUCUAGAAGAUAAAUUUUGUGAUUUUUCGAUAUCAUUUACCAAGCGAUCAAAAGGGCUAAAAUCAACAAUUUUUAAUGGUUGAUGUAUACCGUUUACAAGUUUAACAAUGUAAAAGUAUUCAAAUCAGAUAAAAUUUUGAUAGAAAAUUUUUUAUACUAUUUAUGGUGAGAUCAAUAUCUCUAAUAAAAAAUUGUAGUGCUAUCUCACUUCUUUUUGUGAGAUUUUUAUUUUCAACCGUUGAUUUUAAACUCUUUCAAUCGCUAGGUAAAUGAUAUCGAAAAAUCACAAAAUUUAUUUUCUAGAUACUUCAAAUGCACUAGAUCAAGUCUAACAAAGUCGAUCCUUGAUCGGAAUCUCCAUCAUCAAAAAUGGCUUAGGAGCACGGAGGUCUCAGUGCUCCUAAUACAAGACGUACUAUAUAUAUAUAUAUAGUCCGACUACUAUAUUAUCGAUAGUAUUAAGCUCUUGGUACUAUCGAGUUUUCUGCCGCUAAAUCUAUUCUUUAAUAAUUUCCACCCGUUAGAUUAUACUAUUCAAUCAACCAUCCACUCAACCUUAGAGGAUCAUUAUCAUCCUAGCCGCACAAUCCUUCAAGCGUACUCUAUAUAUAUAUAGUAGGUCUUGUGUGCCACUAGGAGCACGGAGGCCUCCGUGCUCCUAAGCCAUUUUCGAUGAUGGAGCUUCUAAAUCGAUAAUCAUCUCUAUUAGACUUCAUAUAGCAUAUUUGAAGUAUCUAGAAAAUAAAUUUGUAAUUUUUCGAUAUCAUUUACUUAAUGAUCAAAAGGGUUCAAAAUCAGCUGAAAAUAAAAAUUUCACAAAAAGUGGUGAUAUAAUACUAACAUUUUCGAUAAAAAAUAUUGAUCUUAUAGUAAAUAGUAUAAAGAUUUUUUUUAUCAAAAUUUUAUUUGCUUUGAAUACUUCUACAUCGUUAAACUUGCAAACGAUAUACAUGACCCUUUAAAAAUUGUUGAUUUUGAAUCCUUUCGAUCACUAGAUAAAUGAUAUCAAAAAUCCGCAAAAAUUAUUUUCUAGAUAGUUUAAAUACGCUAGAUCAAGUCUAGUGGAGCCAAUCGUCAAUUCGAAAGUCCCAUCAGUGAAAACGUCUUAAGAGCACAGAAACCUCCGUGCUCCUAAUAGCACACAAGUCCUACUAUAUAUAUAUAUAUAUAGAGAGAGAGAGAGAGAGAGAGAGAGAGAGAGAGAGCGCAGGGCUACCGUGCUAUUAGGAGCACAACAGUCUUGUGCUCCUAAAUUUCUAACCACUGAUUAAUUUUGAUGGGUGGUUAGAAUGAGAGAGAGAAGAGAAAUUGGGAAGAAAUUGGAUGUUUCAAUUUAUCUUCUUUUUGAAUUUAUCUCCAAUUUCUUUUCUCUCUCUCAUUCUAACCACCCUCAAAAUUGAUGGGUGGUUAGGAAGCUAGGAACAUAAGGACUGCUAUGCUUGCACAGUAGCUCUAAUAUAUAUAUAUAUAUAUAUAUAUAUAGUAGGACUGCUGUGCUCUCAGGAGCACGAAGGCCUCCGUGCUCCUGAGCCGUUUUCAAUGAUGGAAUUUUCGAAUCAACGAUCGGCUCCGUUAGACUUGAUCUAGCGUAUUUAAAGUUUCUAGAAAAUAAUUUUUGCGAUUUUUUGAUAUCAUUUACCUAGCAAUCGAAAGGAUUCAAAAUCAAUAUUUUUUAACGGCUGAAAAUAAAAAUUCUAUAAAAGGUGGUGAUAUAGCACUAAAUUUUUCGAUCAGAAAUAUUGAUCUUGUUGUCGAUAGUAUAAAGAAUUUUGUAUCAAAAUUUCAUCUGAUUUGAAUACUUCUACACUGUUAAACUUGAAAACGGUAGAUAUCAACCAUUAAAAAUUAUUGAUUUGAAUCCUUCCGAUCACUAGGUAAAUGAUAUCAAAAAAUCGCAAAAAUUAUUUUCUAGAAACUUCAAAUAUGCUAGAUCAAGUCUAACGGAGCCGAUCGUGGAUUCGAAAAUUCCAUCAUCGAAAACAGCUUAGGAGCACGGAGGCCUGAGAGCACAGCAGCCCUGCUAUAUAUAUAUAUAUAUAUAUAUAUAUAUAUAGAGAGAGAGAACUAGAAUUCGACGAGGAGGGGAAGUUGGGAGAGGUGGUUGCCCGAAGAUGAGAGAGAGAGAGUUGACUAGAAUACUAUCGGUAGCAAACGGGCUCCGUUGCCACCUAUUUGUUUUCGAUGAUGGAGCCUCCAAAUCGACGAUUGACACUGUUAAACAUAAUUUAUACCACUUGAAGUAUCUAAAAACCAAAUUUCAAAUAUUUUUGACAAUAUUAACCUAAUGAUCAAAGGGUUUCAAAUUUAUAAUUUUAAUGGUCGAUAUUGUCACACCCCGCAUUACCACGUUUCUCCGGACACGGCAACAGACCCGCCAUAUACAAAAGAAUUUUUCCUGUAUACGAAGCGAUAGUUGUACCUGUACCUGUAAUCAUACAAAACUACAACUACUAGUAUAGAGCUGCUAAUAGAACUGUAAACAUAUAUAAAUAACACCAGGUUCACUAUACAUAUAUAGUCUCCAAGAUACAGACAUCACUCGCUUUAGUGAGUACCAGCAUAAGUAUGUACAGGAACCAAAAUCCAAAACUACCUGUAGAUGGUACUCCUCGAGAACUGCAACUAGGGAAGGGAUCUAACUCGCGACUCCCUUUGCAUGAUCAGUAUCAGCGACAGCAGCAGCCGCAGAAAAAUGCUCUACAAAAAGGGAUCAACAACGGGGUGUGAGAACUACUACAAAAAGUAGUCCUCAGUGGGUACCGCUAUCGACCUCACCGGCUCACCCAUUAAGUCUACAGAAUGGUAUGCAAGAGAUAGUAAGGAAAGCUGGAAACCCUACAGCUAUAUGCCCCUAUACUAUCACUAACCAACUCUAGCUAUCUGUAGAUAUGCAUCCCCUGCAACAACGACUAUACUGUCAAAGUACUGCCAACAGGCCCAUCCCGCCUGCGUUUGAGCAAUACCGCACACUACCAUUGAGGUAGCUGGUCCUAAAGCACCGUCCAAACAGGACUACUGCGACAACAACGCAAAAGCACAAAGCCCGACUCCGGAGUAGCACUGGUGGGCGCUACCCAACCGAGUAUGCAAGCGUGUCUUUGCCGAGCUCAAUCAGGCUUUCAUAGGCUAUAAUCAAAGCAAAUGGGUCUAACUGGACUAACAACCAAAUCUCACAUGCCCUCGGCACAAUCUGAUGCAAAUACAGAAAUCUGGGUCCACCGUCCACCGCGACGGCGCCCGACAGUCCGGAACAGUCUACACACUACUGUAAAAAUAAACUCGGCAUCUCAGCACGAGCGUAAACUCAUCCUACACUAAUCUGGGCAUCCAUCACAUACUAACAACGACGAUACAAAUAAACCACAGCUCCUAAAGCUAAAUAUGGUAAUUUUCAGAAAGUGACAGCGUAGGAUCUAUAUGUUUUCUCCUAAAUCAAUUCCAAAUUCAACAUGUAAAAUUAAACUACUAGCUUAACUCCAAAUUCAGAUUUAAACACUAAUCUAUGAAUUCGAGUACUAGCAAAGAAAAUACACAAAUAAUACAUGUCGACGCUAUAAAAACUUAGGAGGUAUUCCGGCGAAUUCGGUAAACUUCAACCCACCUCGAAACGCUAAUCCAACCACAGCGAGAAGUUGAAAGGAGAGGAAAUCACGCGCUCACCCGGCCUCCAACGGCACAACCGCGACGUCCACACGCUCGAACGGCUCUCCGGCGCAACGUCGACGUCGAUCCGAGCUCAAGCCGUGGCCUCCACCAAGCACACAAUUAACACUUGAGAGAGAGAGGAACUUAAUUAAGCAAACUACUCUCCCAUAGCUACUCUCCCUCAUUUUCGGAAUUGCUCAUAUUGAGCAACCCGAACUCUCAAAUCGAAAAGAUUUGAAAAGUAUUUAUCUUCAAAAUAAUUUUUAAUUUUGAAAUGUAAACCGUUAAACGUCAUUUUGGCAAAUUUUGACUCCGGCAUUAUUACAAAGCAACGGCUCUUAGCUGUUUUGAAUCAGUUUAAAUAUUCUUCAACCGAUUCCCCUGUUUUUUGCCUAAAUUGGGCAAGAUCAGCUACUGACAAUUCUGGCUCUGAUCUAUAAAAUUGUUCAUAGAACUUUCUCUCUAAUUCAUCCCAAUCUUGGACAGAAUUAGUCGGUAGACUCGUAUACCAAGUAAAAGUUGUCUUGGUUAAAGAAGUAUUAAAUAAUCUUAAUUUUAAAAACGGAUCCGCCGCGGCUUUCCGGCACUGUGCCGUAAACCGUGCAACAUGUUCGACCGUAUUUUCGGUCUCAUCACCAGAGAAUUUGUCAAACUUCGGAAUCUUCCAAUUUGCCGGAUAUGGAUGAUCUACAUCAAUAUUUGCAGGAUAUAGAGAUCUGAACACAGGCCGCAUUGCCGGCCUUGCACCUACUCCGAAAGUAUUUCAGAUAGUUUCUUCAAUCUGUGCAUAUAUUUCAUUAUUGUUCCUCUGUAAGGGAACUUGUGCUUGUGCUUGUGUUAUAUUCGAUCCAUGUGGUAGACCGAAAUUUUGUACUACAAGGUUAAUCCCUUAUACAUUCGGGGCUUGCCCCUCAGCCCUAGUCCCUGUGUUUUGGGGCUGAUAUGCUGUCAUUGGCGGAGGAGGUGGUAACCCCCACGCCAUCUCUGGUUGUUGAUCGGCAUUGGCAACGGCCGGUCUGUUAGUUGCCUGGAAUGGUGCCCCCUGGUAUUGGAGUUGUCCAUUUGCCGGUAUCAUAGGAUUUUGUAACACUGGUAUUAUUACAGGCCCUUGCAAUUCUGCAACAGGUUACUCGUUACGAGUCAAUAAUUGCCCUAUUCGAGCAAUAUUCUCGUUAGAGGCUGUAAUUGCGGCCAACACUGCAUCUAACCGUGCAGUGCUUCUAUGACUAUUUUGAUCCAAAACUUGUAGGAGCCGUGUCAUUUGUCCAAGCGCUUGAGCCAAACUAGACUUUUAUUGGUCAGACUGACCACUAGUCUCGCUUUCAACGGGCAAGACUGCUUGGCGCUCUCCAUCAUUACCUGAAUUACUGGGUUGUUGAUCGCUCCCGGAACUUCUGGGAAUGACCCUAUUGCGCAAAUUCAUGGCGUUAUCGUCAGCCAUUAUCUUAAUACAGAAAUAAAUUUACCUAAAUUGUGUCCCAUCGGGCGUGCCAAAAAUUGUUACAUGCUGAUCCUCCUGACCAUUGACCUAGUCAAAGAUCUUUCUCAGGGAACGUGUAGGGAUGCGGAACGGCUACGAAUGGUGACCCUCGAAGUUUACGCCCUUCGACCUGAUCAAGCGAUUCGACUGAUGAGAGAUCGGAUCAGCCGAGUUCGUAAAUCUUUACUGUGGAAUCAGUUCGGCUGGAUGAGCCGAAUGUAUGAACUGCUUAAAGACUUGAGUCAGCAAAUGAGCCGAAUGGAAGAAAUACACAAAGAUUACUCGGCCUAAAGAGCCGAAUGCUUUUUAUAUAUUGCAGGUAACUUGCUAGAAUAGUACAAAGAUUGAGUAUGCUUGAUGGCAUACAGACUCGGUUGAUUUAAUUAGGAAUCUACUUCUAAGGAAAAAUAGUAAAUGCAGGAAAGUAGAAAAUUACAAAUAGACUACUCCUAGAACAUGCGAGAAAAUUACAAGGAAAAUAAGGGUGGUCUUCUAUUCUCGGGGAAAAGACCCUUUUUAGGACGUUAUUGGCCUAUUUAUAGAUCGCCCUUAUUAAUAAGUUAUUGAUCGGCCACUACUUCUAUUUUCCCGAGCCACUUUCAGCCGAUCGGAACCGCCUGCAACUGCUUGCGGUUACUAUAACUUUCCUUAAAUCGCGCGGUUUAGGACUCCUCCGAUGCUCUUGGUGCACAGUAAAAUUACUCUUAAUCAAUAAAACUGAAUGGAGUACCGACGUAUCACAUGUCCGCGCCUUAUUGGCCCAACACUAUCGAUAGAACGGAAGCCUUCGUGCUACCAAGUUACUUUCGAUAACGGGGCUUUCAAAUCAACGACCGGCUCCAUUAGACUUGAUCUACACUAUUGAAAGCUUUUUCGCCGCCCGUCGGGCGCCUUGGUGUGUGGAUUGAAAGCUGAGGUGCACGGUAUGUUCCUCUCCUCAGGCCUGGAUGUGGGCGGUAGUCCGCUGAUGAUUGACUUAAGACCGAGUCGGGUGGUAUAUCUUGGCUAAGGUAAAAGAAUCUUAAGAAUGGAUUGUGAAAUAGAAAGUAGAAAUGGUAAAUCUACUUGCAUGGAUUUCAUUUUGCAUUUAGUUGAGGUAUAAGCAUGAUGUUUUUUAGUUGCUUACAGUUAUAUGUUUAUAUAUAUUGGACUAACUUGCUAUGUUGCUUCCUUUGAACAUGGAGAGUCGAGCUCUUCCCUUGGGUGGCCGUACCUACUGGGAACUAUUUUUAUAGUUCUCACCCCCAUAUUUUUCAGGUCCACACGCGAGCGGCGCGACGACGCGAGGAAAUGGCGUAGCUCGAUAGAUAAUGCCCCAUCACUUGAGACCAGAGAUAGAUGUACCCGGAGUACGCAUAACUUAGGGUAUAGAAAGGAAGAAACAAAAUUGUAAUAAAGUUGAUUGUAUUUGGAAGAAAAGAAUGUAAAUGUUAUGUGAAAUGUGACGAAUGCUUGUAAUAGUUUAGUAAUUAUGUUUGAUGCCUUCUUUAUGCAAUCGGUGUAUGAAUUUUGUUCCUAUUUGGAACCACUUGAAUUAUACUGAUUGUGACGUCUUGGGCAGACAGGGGAAACUCUGUCCGUUCGGCGGUCUGUCGGGGCGCCCGAAUCCGACCAAAGAAGCGGAUCUCGGGACGUGACAGCCGCCGCCGAUCAUGCCCCGGCUGGCCAACCGCCAUCUCAGCCGCCAACUUUUUUCUUUCCUUCUCCUCCACCACCAACUUCAUCUCCUUCUCUGCCAGAGUCAAGCCAGAGAGCAUCUCCACCCUCGGGGCCCCCUUAUGGCACCUUCCCCAACUUUCGACGAGGCUCUCUCGUCAGCUGCAGCCGCCCCCGAGCGCCGCCACGCAACUCCUACAAAGUUGGUUCCACUUAGGGUAGGUGCGGUCGCGCCGUGUUGCAUCGCCUCCACCGCCGCCGUCAGCCACUUCCUUCCCUCCCUUUCGAUCCCAGAGAAAGCUCGCACCCCUUUCCUGGUUGCUCCGUCCAUCGCCAUGGCCGGAGAAGGAAGACGAGCCUGAUUUGAGGCUGUGCUGGUUUGGGUUGUCCCCGCACCGCCACCGCCACCGGCUAGGGAGAGCGCCGACCCUUCCCCGUCUCCCACACCCCCUGCAGCCGGGGCACCCACUGCUGAGCCGCCGCCAGUCGUGCUCGGCCCCUUUGCUACCAGCAAACCCGGUUAGGGCUAUUUUGGGUAGUUUUCACUCUUCCGGCGAUCCAAGGCGGUUCUCACACCUUUGGAGGUGAGCACGGUGACCCUAGUCAGUGUUGAUCACAAUGCUCACCUCAUUUGCUGUCGGCGAGUCCCAGAUCAGCGGGUUCGGUCUUGUUGCUCCCCGUGCACAUCGAUCGAUGAACUUCGACUCACUCUCACGCAUCCCACAGUGACCCGCGGUGCUUCGGACAGUGAGCAUAGCCUCCGCUUUCUCGAGACCUGUCAGCCCGCGUCUCGGCUGAUCUCGAAAGCACUCGGUUAGCGAUAACGAGCCAUUAAACUCUACUAAGUGCAUAUAUUAAUGUGAUUAUAUGUAAUAGUAAGGCCUUUCAUGCAAUUUGUCACUUUGCGGCUGCUGUAGGCAGCAUGUAUGUGUGGUUUAUGACCUCUGAACUGAUCGUCCAAGGCCCGAACCUUUCACGGAGACCGAAUAUCGGUUUCGGUGCAUUUUUCAGCGAAAUCUGUCGGUGGAACACGGUUUUGGGUCGGAAUACUGCCACUGAGCAUUGUUGGCUGGUCACCUACAUCGUCUAGAAUGUCCAAAGAUGUCGGGUGAGCGGCGAAGGAUUUCGGUGUCGAAAUUGACACUUUCGGAAACCCGGAUCGGAGUGAUUGUCUGACGAUAAUCGUUUCGACGUGUGACCUUGGUGUUUGUUGCUAGAACAUUCAAAAUGAUAUAUUUUGAGGCAGCGUAUGACUCGUGACAUGAGUCAGUGAGUUUUGGGACACUUUGUGGGUGCUGGCGGUGUCCCGAUGCGAUUUUCGGAACUUCUGGCAGAUUACGGGGAUCGGUCCUUGGGAAACCAAUUCCGUGGUGAGUUCUGGGGAUUGUGAGUACUAUGAUUUGAGUCGGUGGGUUGGACCCUGACCCUGUGGGCCUUUCGUAGGUCCGGUCGACGAUCUUGCGCGAUCUGGAGACAGACGCGACACUAUAAUGGGUAGGUACUUCGAUCUGAAGUCGUACUAGUGGUGCACGCUUGGUGACGUUCUCUCCACCCUCUCUCUAUAUGUUUCUCGUAGUACUUCGAUUAUAAAGCCUAGCACCGUGUGACUUUACUUCAUGUUGCUCUACUCAGUUAACUUUACUUUAUGUUGCUCUACUCGGUUACCCUUAUGUUUGAUUAUCAUGACCUAGUUGGUUGGUUUCGAGAUUCUGGUUGUUUGAUGACCUAUUCGGUCGGCAUACCCUGAGAGUUGAUUAUUGGCUACUUGCCGACGGCUACUGAUCAUAUUUGUAUCGAUCGCCACUACUCGUAUGCAUUUCACGUACACCAGCUGUGUGGCCAACGCAACGGUGUUCUUUUCCGAAAAGGUGGUCGAACUUCCGACCCGUGAGCCCAGGAACUUAUGCUAGGAUUAUAUGCCAUUUAGAGCGGCGUGGAACUUGCCUGAGGUCCUUAGACAGACACGGCGGAUUCUGGGUUGCGUAUUUUGGAUUGACCGUCCAGUUGAUGCAUAUUAUUUACAGUAGUGGUAGUUGCAUAUGUAUAUAUAUCUUGUUUCCUUUUGGCAUUGCUACUGUAUUACUUUUUACUGUUAUAUUUUUUGUUACCAGUGAGUACACUCAACCUCGUCGACUUUCGGUACCCACUGGGAGAUCCUUGUUUGGUUUCUCACCCUCGCCCCCUCUAUUUUGGCUGAACCAGAUUAUACAGCGGGGAGAGCGAGGCUCUCAUAUUGUUGACUGUUGUGGGUGGAGUGCAGCUCACGACAAGGUCGGUUUAGGCUAGCGAGAUAAGUCUCACAUCACCUGGUACUUGUGAGUCUAAGCCUGAUGAGGACGUCAGGGCUUAAGGGGGGAAGAAUGUGAGACCCAAGAUAGUCCUAUAUAUAAGAUAUAGUAAGGCUAAAACUCUUAAACCGGCUUAAGCAUUUUGAGCGGUGGCUAAGCCUAAGAGGUUAAGAGAGUUAAGUGUGCUAAGACGGGAAGUUGGGGUGUUACAUGAGAAGAACGUUGCACUCUUUGAGAUGAAAAUUGUACUUUUUGAGAUGAAAGUUACACUCUUUGGUGAAAGCUCACUAAUGACGUCUAAACAUUAUUUGAAUCCUUGGAAGUUUUCGACUAUGACAUUGACAUCGACAUCGACGAUGAGGAAGUCGUCGGCGACCACAAAAAGAAAUUCUACUCGUUGAAGAGAUCGACAAUGCGGCGACACCCAGAAGUGCGUGCACCGUCGAGCGCCUAGAGAAGCGCCUCGGCCUUGGCGGCGCCUGGACACGCGCGCGCCAUCGAGCACCCGGAGAAGCGCCUCAGCCUUGGUGACGCCCGGACAACUGCGUGCCGUCGAGUUCUCGGAGAAGCACCUCAGCCUUGGCCUUCCCCCUCCUGCCGCUGUCGUUGCCCCCCUCCGCUUGCUCCCGUACGAAAAGAAGAAUAAAAAAUAAAAAAAAUUCUUCUUGAAAGAUCAUUAUGUAUCAUCGUUACUACAGGAAAAGCAAAGAAUCAAAGAACAAAGAAGAGAAAGAUGAAGUUGCACUUUUAAUAUAAAGUUACAAUGUUUCAGAAAAAAUUGCACUGUUUGAGAAAAAUGUUGUACUCUUUAAAACGAAAAUUAUAUUCUUUGAGACGAAAGUUGUACUCUUUGGGCGAAAAUUGCAUUAAAUUUUUAUUAUUUGAACCAUUAUAUACUACUAAAAAAAAUUUUUUUUUUGUAAUUUUUUUAGUAUUUAUCAUUUUGGAUCAUAUUGAAUGGUACUAAAAUUACUAGAAAUAAUAAAUACUGUUAAAUAUAAUUAAAGUUUAUUUAUUAAGGAUAGAAUGAUUAUUUUUUAAUUGAUUACCCUUCAAACUCUAAUAAUUUGGCUUUGCGUUAUUUUUUCUGAAAUUAUAUAAUUUGCGAUCCUGGUAACUGGCCGUCAUUCACAGCUUUAAUGAAAUUUACAGCUUCAUUAGCUGAGAUAAUGUUCAAAAUAGUGAAAUUUAGGGUAGAUUACACUUUUGGUCUGCAAGGCAUGCGAUGCGAUGCUUUGGUCCUCUAAAUUUAAUUUGUUAUAAUUUUUGGCAUGAACUUUAUAAAUUAUUACAAUAAAAUUUCACAAUCCGAUUAAUUUAGUUAACUAAAUAUUAAUGUAUUGCUAAUAUGGUGGUGAUAUAGUAUUGCUGUAAUAGAUGAUGUGACAAUAAUUAAGAUGCCAUAUCAAGUUUAUAUCAACGAUUUGUCAAUAUUUAGCAAGUUAAAUUAGGUUGUGGGACUUAAUUGUAAUAUUUAUAAAGUUUAAGUUAGAAAUUACAACAAGUUAAUGUUUGAUCACCAAAAUGUCACAUGUCUUAUAGUGUGAGAACCAAAAAUGUAAUUUACUUUUAGAAUUUAAUAUAAUCACUAUUGAAUUUCAAAAAUUCCAAAUUAUUUGAUGAAAAUGAUUUGGAAAAAAAAAAGAAAAAAAAAUAAGUUGUAGUGUGAUGGGAAAAUAAAAACAUAUAAAUACAAAAAAAAUUGAAGGUAUGCUUCAAAAUGGCCUAUAUUUACUUGAGAGUUUCUUAAACAAUUUUUUUCUUUUGACCUUUCAACUAUUAAGGGCCCAUCUUGAACAAAAAAGCGUGGGGGAAAAUGCAUACAUAUAGAUGAUAGGGAUAAUUUUAUACAGCUCUCUGUAAACAUAUCAAAUAGCAUAUAUAUUUCUAUAAAUUCAUGUUUUUAAAUUUAUCCCUUCAAAAGUUCAGUGAUGUUCAUAUUUCUCUUUCUGAUUUAUUAUUGUUAGCCCACUGUUUGUUUUUUAAUAGAAGUUAAGUGAAAUAUCAAUUUUGUCAUUAUAAAUAUGUUCCUCCAAAAGUUUGUGCAAAAUGUUCUCCCCCAAAAAAAUCCUCAAUAUUCAUCUUCUUCCUUUACAAAAACUAACCCAAUCUACUAUUGUUGCAAACUCUUCUCUAUCUCUUCUCUUACUUUUUUUCUCCUUUAGCUAUCUAAUACAGAUUCUCCGGUGCUCAAUAUUGGGCAAAGUAACACAUGUCGUGGAUGAAUGAGGAUGAAGAAAUCAUAGUUAUAGAUUCAAAACUAUCAUGAAGGAGAGAGAGGAAGAGGAAGAGGAAGAGGAAGAGAAAGAGGAAGAAGAGUUUUCAUUGCUAGGAUUUUAAUUGAGAAAAUAAGGUAUAAUAUCAAAGGAUG
rnacentral:lncRNA from 1 species